rnacentral:rRNA from 1 species
GCAAGUCGAACGGCAGCACGGACUUCGGUCUGGUGGCGAGUGGCGAACGGGUGAGUAAUGUAUCGGAACGUGCCCAGUAGCGGGGGAUAACUACGCAGAAAGCGUAGCUAAUACCGCAUACGCCCUACGGGGGAAAGCAGGGGAUCGCAAGACCUUGCACUAUUGGAGCGGCCGAUAUCGGAUUAGCUAGUUGGUGGGGUAACGGCUCACCAAGGCGACGAUCCGUAGCUGGUUUGAGAGUGACGACCAGCCACACUGGGACUGAGACACGGCCCAGACUCCUACGGGAGGCAGCAGUGGGGAAUUUUGGACAAUGGGGGAAACCCUGAUCCAGCCAUCCCGCGUGUGCGAUGAAGGCCUUCGGGUUGUAAAGCACUUUUGGCAGGAAAGAAACGUCAUGGGCUAAUACCCCGUGAAACUGACGGUACCUGCAGAAUAAGCACCGGCUAACUACGUGCCAGCAGCCGCGGUAAUACGUAGGGUGCAAGCGUUAAUCGGAAUUACUGGGCGUAAAGCGUGCGCAGGCGGUUCGGAAAGAAAGAUGUGAAAUCCCAGAGCUUAACUUUGGAACUGCAUUUUUAACUACCGGGCUAGAGUGUGUCAGAGGGAGGUGGAAUUCCGCGUGUAGCAGUGAAAUGCGUAGAUAUGCGGAGGAACACCGAUGGCGAAGGCAGCCUCCUGGGAUAACACUGACGCUCAUGCACGAAAGCGUGGGGAGCAAACAGGAUUAGAUAUCCUGGUAGUCCACGCCCUAAACGAUGUCAACUAGCUGUUGGGGCCUUC